GAGAGAAAAGAUGACUGCUUGUGUUGCGAAACGUCGUGGGUUUUUUGCUUUUAUUUUUAAUAUAUUUAUAAUUUGUUUAAUCUACGUGACUUUACCGAAAGAACCAAAAAUACGUGAGCGUAAUCUUUAUGGCUGUGACGUGGAUAUCUAUGGGUGGUGCUGCAGUCUCGUGGGAUGGUGAAUUCUACUGGCACCAGCUGCUGCUACCGAUCCUGCGUGAAGUCGUGCGUUAGCUGGAGACGUCCUCCUCAUCUUUCCCACCGUCUCGCCCUCCUCCUUCCCUCUCCCACCACCUCCUCCUUGCCCCCUCUCUCUUCAUCUUCCUCGCCUCGAGCUCGAGCCAUGGUUGCGCGCAAUAGCAAAGAUCGUUCUCAUGGCACUGAUGAGACUCCUCCAUCCGUCCCUCCACUCCCUCCUGUUUCUCCUCUCCGCUCUCCACCUCCCUCCCUCCCAUCUCAGCCCUCCAUCCCACCAAAUGCCUCCCUCUUAUUACAUCACUCCCAUCCCUCCGUCCCAUCACGUCCAUACUUGCAUGAACAUCUCUCUCCCAUCACUUUCCACUCUUGCACCUCCACCAUAACGUGCAUCUCUUCCAUCACGGCGUUCACGCACGACCACGUCUGUUUCUCACAUCGCAUCUCUUUAACCCUCACGUCUCUGGCCUCCGUCGCAUCUUCUCGCCACGAAAUCUCUCUCCCGUCACAGACGUCACGCAGCAUUUCUCUCCGACCGCAUCUUCCGUUCCCUCCUCCCAUCGCAAUUGUACCAUCACGCAUCCCCAAUUAUAUAUCACUCUCCAUCCCCAUCACAUCCUACCUCGCGACCAAAAUACAAUGAAACCAAUGCGCGAGUCGAGAUCGACGGGGACAAAAUUUAGACGAGGUGACGAUGCUACCGUCUAUCGUUUUCGUGCGAGUAAAUCUCGAUUACGCCCACGUCGCUCGCACCAUUCGAUCAUUUGCGAGCGUAACUCAGAUGGCAUCCUCGCGUCGCGUCUAGCCUCCUGGAGCAAGCGUGAUGCUGUACACGCGACACGGAGAGCAAGAGAUUUAAAAAAAAGAGAAUUAAGGUUAAAGAACAGAUCGUGUAUCUGAAAAAAAAUCGAAUCGUGACAAAUGAUGUUAGAAUCGCCGCGGGAUGGGUGCUGAAUCGAUGCGUGCCCGAGGGACGAACCGCAUUUCCGCCUGAAUGACGGCGUUAAUAAAGUCUGAGCACGUUUCCAAAAAUAGACAGAUAGCCUAGGAUUUAAUCUGGACUUAAGGCAGGCGCAAUUAGGGAUAGACGCGGCCGCGCGGCAUCGUCUCCCAGAGAGAUCGGCGCGACUUAGGGUGGACGCACGACAACAUCUGCCUGCCGGUUCGUGUGGUCGCAGAUUUCUAAUAUCCGAGGGCAACGUACUGCCGCGGAUUUCCAAAGGCAGCUGUGUGGACGAGUUUGGUUGGGUGGGUGGGGGAGGGCUAGAGAUGAAUACCAAUAUCCUGAUGAUGAUUAUGCUGAUUGUAGUAAUGUUGCUGCUGAUGAUUGUAAUUAUGGUGAUUUGAAUUCCAAUUAAUCGCGAUGCUCGUGAUUAUAUUGAAAAUAUCGACCGACGCUUUGAUGGCCAUAACACCAUUACCUGCAUGGGAAAUAAUAAUGAUAACGAAGUUAAAGAUGAUGAUAAUGACGACAGGUCUUCCUGUAGUUUACUCAGGGUGAACCAAAACUCUCACUAAAUUCCUAAAGCGGUUAUUGCGACAGGUUACAAUGGUAAUGAUGAUUACAAUGAUGAUGAUUAUGAUGAGAAUAACAACAAUGAUGAUUCCGAUGAUGAUGAUGAUGAUUCCAGUAAUGAUGAUGAUGGUGCUGCUUAUGUUGACGGUCAUGAUGUCUAGGAGAGCAUAUUUAAAUUAUGUACAUGGGACUCUAGAAAAGUAACUUCUACCUGGGCACAUCUUUGAAGAGACAAACCCACACUUCAUUCAAUACUACCCAGUGUAACCUCUCCGACUCACCUCGUCACAUCUCUUCCACGCUGAAGUCAACGGGGAAAGAGAGCGAUGUCACUGUAGCCACCCGAGCUCCUGCGGCUCACCACUUGAAAACCAAUGUCCCCACGAUCACGAACCACACAGCAGGUGCUGGGGGUCAGUCUGGGCCACAGAGUUGGACUUCAUUUCGAUGCCCAGGCUAUAUAUAAUUCUACAUAGAGUGGAUGUAGAAUUAUAUAUCUGGGCUAUACGGUGGAUGUUGAAUCCUAUACGUGGGAUAUUGAGUGGGUAGUUGGUUCUAGGUCUGGGAUAUAGCAUAAACGUCGAGUUAUCUAUCUGGGCUAUAGAGUAAGGGUUGAGUCCUAGUGCUGUGCUGUGGAGGUUGGGUUUUCUUGAGAAGCCACACUCUGUGACAGUGGCCACCUCACUCGGCUGAUUGUGCAUGAGAGCCACAGUCGUGAAGGUGACGGAGGAAUCACGUGACAGGUUUGUGACACAAACCCCACGUGUCGCCCAGCGUCGUCGACCCUCUUCAAUCAACCAUCUCCUGUAGCUUUGCGCACAUGUACAGAUAAUAAAUUAUAUACAGUAUAUGCAUACAGCUACCUGCCAAACUUUACUGAACAUUGUCUGCUCCAGUCCAUUCCUGCACGGGUAGAUGUCUGCCUUUCUAGCGUCCCUCUUGCUCGACGUUGAUGAUGAUGAUGUGUGUGUCGCUGUACAAUCAUAACCUGUAGGCUGUAGGCAACGUGAAAUGUAUCUGUGUCACCCACCCCGAGUCUUGAACCGUUAAGUGUCGUGUUUCAACUAAUUUAUGAUGAUUAAUUCACGGAUAUGCUUUUAGACUUGACAAUGUUGUUGAUGUUGUUGCUGAUGAUGAUGUUGUUUAUCGCUGCCGACCUCCGCCGCGUCAUCUGGAGAACUACGCCUCUCUAAUCGAGGCGUCCGUUGUGAACCCUGAGCGAGAGCGAGCAUGCCUUGGCUGUGCCCACGCAGGUACCUGCUGGCCUUCAUCCAGCAGUGGGUAGAGGGUGGGUGAUGAUGAUAGCGAUAUGUGUUAACUACUUGUACUGUGCUCACCACGUCCUGGGCUUCGGUAAGCUCAUAGCGCUUUUACCCAAAAUUUAGAGACUGUAAGCAGAACUCUGUCCUGUGUCUCCGCAUAUAAAAAAAUAAAUGUCAUUAUGUUGGCUUUCCAGACCAAUAUUAUGGAGCAAAAUUUGUUUUAAAAAGCAAACUCUAGAUCGUUUUCGAUAAUCUGGGUUUCAUCAACAGAAUCACAUUUACUUUUUAUUUUACAAAUGACCAGUCUUGGUUUCCACAAGACACCAUGCCUUUGAUUUUUCUACUUGAGCCAAAGUCUUGGGGGUUGUUUUUUUUUACAGAGGCCAUAAAAACAAAUCUGAUGUCUCUGGGUCCCAGGACCUGUCUUGCUGACAACGCUAAUCCCCGAUGUCCUCUCCCGAGUUGCGUGAUUGGUGGCAUAACAAGGGCCCAGAACUGGCUCUGCUGCAAGGAAUAAAUAGGUUUGCGCAAUAUAAAUAAACGCUUCCCCUUUACCAUGUUGGGAAGAAGAAAAAAACACAGAAAGCUAUCCAUAUUCUCGGGGCUAAAUUUCUCACUUUUAAUUUUAUUUUUCGGUUACCAGUAGACGGGGAGGUGGCGACGUGACCCAGUUGCCACACGCAGAGGGAGAGGUCGGCACAAUUGGAUGUGGUGUGCCGGUUUCCAACCCGGACAGACGAGGCUGAAACGGGCCCUGGCUACAGCCUUGGUCGCGACACGGCUCCCAAUUUGAAUUCUCGUUUACCAAGCGCCGCUUCUGCUUCUUGUCGCGGACGCCGAUCGCCGUGCCGUCCACCGUGCGUGUCGCUUUGUGUCGCUCAGUUUUCAUUCCGGGGGGCUGAUGGUCAUUUCAGGGCACCGAGCCACACACCACUGAGGCAAUAUGUUCAAGCCCGGGGGCAGGUUGUCUCCCAUGGACGGAUACCUUUGUCAGAGACACGAAACUUGCAACCUCGGGAGCUUCGGGUACAAGACCUGGGACUGGGUGUGCUCAUGGCACAUGAACAAUAACGAUAACCGUAUCAGAAAAAAUGACCCAAAACCAUUCCUGAAGCUGGGCGUCUCUCGUGGAGCGCAUUGCUGUGUCAAAGACAAUUAACGAGUAACGUCUGUGGUUAAAGGUUGAAGCCCUGGGGUUGGGCGUCUCUCAUGAAGCUAUUGCCUAUGGCAGAGACACCAAACCUGCAGCCUUUUGAGGGUACAGGUUCAAGCCCAGGGACUGGGUGUCUGUCAGCUCUUUUGGUGUCUUCAUGACUCAGCUUCCUGGGGUUCAGUGCGAGUUGUUUAAUUCUUUAAAAAUGUCGGUUUGCCUGCAAUGUCUUGUGUGUUCGCUGUUCCCACCCGAGCAUGGGCUAUUUGUAUUCGCGCGCACUUAUUAAUGAGCGUCAAUAAAAUGAACAGCCUCAUA